GCGGGAGUGGCGAAAUCGGUAGACGCGCUGGAUUUAAAAUCCGGUAUCGAGAGGUGUAGGGGUUCAAGUCCCCUCUUCCGCA
rnacentral:tRNA from 1 species